UGAGGAACAUGACCUUCGGCGGGGGAUAGCCGGCCCAACGGCCGGGUAAUACCGCGUACGACCACUUGGGGACAUCCUCGAGUGGUGAAAGCAGCAAUGCGCCGAUGGAGUGCCUCGCGGCCUAUCAGCUAGUUGGUGAGGUAACGGCUCACCAAGGCGACGGACGGGUAGCUGGUCUGAGAGGAUGGCCAGCCACAGUUGGGACUGAGACACGGCCCAGACCUCCGUAGGGACGG
rnacentral:rRNA from 1 species